rnacentral:rRNA from 1 species
GUGUCAGCAGCCGCGGUAAUACGUAGGGACCAAGCGUUGUUCGGAUUUACUGGGCGUAAAGGGCGCGUAGGCGGCGUGACAAGUCACUUGUGAAAUCUCUGAGCUUAACUCAGAACGGCCAAGUGAAACUGUUGUGCUAGAGUGCAGAAGGGGCAAUCGGAAUUCUUGGUGUAGCGGUGAAAUGCGUAGAUAUCAAGAGGAACACCUGAGGUGAAGACGGGUUGCUGGGCUGACACUGACGCUGAGGCGCGAAAGCCAGGGGAGCAAACGGGAUUAGAUACCCUCGUAGUCC